GGGGACUUUCUACAUAUAAGGGUCGUUCACCUGAAGUUGCCUUGGCUGUAGUGUUCAUGAUUUUGAAUAAACACAUGUUGUUCUGUCUGCAGACUGUUUACAUAUCCCCAGCAAUGUCAAAAUCAAACCUACGCUCUUGCCAUCAUCAUGCUCAUAAUUAUGUGGUUUUCACCUAUUUGUUUCCUGUAAUUUUAUAAGGUGGAUGCAGUGAGCUACAGAUGUAGAGGCAGACAGGCUUGGUGUUGAAAGUGAAAAUUUGGGAGGAGCCAUACAGAGGACCAGAGCUCUGGAGGAGGACAAGUCAUUGCUGAGUACUCUCUCAAAGUAGCAGCAACACUCACAAACCGAAAGAGGUCAUGGCUGGAACAUGUCUUAUUCACUGUGUCCUGAUUCAAGUCCUGCUUAUCACAGUCUAUGCUCAAUUACCAACAAACUGUACAAAUCAAGCUACCACUGGGGGAGAACCAGUACAUCUAACCUGCAAUGUCACAUGUAAAAAAUGUGAAACACUCCAUUAUUUUUGGAAGCAUGGAGAAGAUAAAAUCAACUGCAGUAAAAUGCGUAACUUUCCAAGUGGCAACAGUCAUAUAUUUAAUUGCACAAUUGAAAGUGCAUCAGCGAGUCACAGUGGAACAUUUACAUUUUGGGUACAAAUGAAAGAAGGAAUUGGUGAAACAAAAUUCAGCGUGACCAUAGUGCGGCCUGCUGCUAAUCUCACCACACUAGGUGCUGUUUCUACAACCAAUUCUCACGCUCAUAAAAAGAAACUUAAGACUUCACCUAAGGGUCGUUCACCUGAAGUUGCCUUGGCUGUAUUGUUCAUGAUUUGUCUUGCCUUAGGCCUCAUUGUUGCUGUUUUGUUUAUAAGAAAUAAAAACUGUAAUAUGUCAAUUUCAUCAAUAUUCACUCACAAAAUGAUCACAGAAACUGAAAUAAUAUAAUCCCAAUACAUACAGUAGUUGUGACACUGUCCCAAGCUCAGAAAGAUAAGCUUUCUUUAUGUCAGUCUCUGUCAUGGCAGAGGGAGAUUAAGGAAAUUAAGGAAAAAGGGGGAAAUUGUACAGUUAAGGGGAAAAUAUAAUCCCAUAUAUGUAGCAGAUUCUUUUCUUUCUUUCUUUUUCUAACGCUUCAUUUCUAGUUUCAGUGAAAUAUUUAUCUCUUACUUAUCACUGUGUGAUGCUUUUCAAUUGCUAAUGGAUUGGUGUGAACUGACUCCUUUUCUGAUUUUGAGAUUUUGUGGGAUCUGUUUUUAAACAUCUGUGGUGAUUUUUACCCGUAGCUUUUUUACAAUUAUUUACCUUCUCAGAAUGAAAAAGGUAACAUACCGUACAAACAUUUCUCACUGCUGUAAUAUACUCGAGAACAUGUUGUUUAUACUGUUACUUAUAUAAAUACAAAUAUAUAGUAUUAUAAUUAAUGGUAUAUAAUCUUUAAGAACAACUGUUGUACCUUUGACAACAAAAAUACUUGUACAGGGCUUUUUCACAGAACUCACUGUAAUCUGUGAUUUAAUUUUUUUUAAUACUAAUACUAAUACUACUAAUAAUAAUACAUGGCGGAGCAGAACACUGAAUAGAUUUUGGUGUUGCAGUUUUGUGUACUUUUGUAUAUUGUGUAUUCUGUUGUAUUGCCAGUUCUGUUGUAUUGUGUGCUUUUUUACUGUAAAUGUGAAUAUAUUAAUAAAUGUACAGAAUUCACACAGUUCUUGGGUGUUUAUAAUUCUACUGUGAUGAGAAUUUGCUCAGGCAAUGAUAUACCAACAAAAUGUAAAAUAAGACUGGUGAACAUGUGCAUUCAUGUCCCUCAGCACAAAGCCAGAUCUGUGGGAGGUGGAGGAUGUUUAUCUUGGGGUGGUUUAGUAGACAUUUAUAAAGAUCACAACAAAAAUGUUUACUUUUAUUAAUGUUUUUAGAAUGUCACAGAGGAACGGGAACAUGAAACACAGAUAAAAAUCCAGCUGUAACAGAUGUUCCCUUAUGGUGUACAUCAAAGAAAUAUGUUUUCCUCUCUUCUAGACCAGUUACAAUGUGACUUGUUUAAAUUUCAUUUUAAUAUUAAAUAUCAGGGUUGAAUGCUUACCUGGAUGUCAUUAUCCUUCUGCCUCAGACAGGUAGAGCUAACUAGUGGGAAGUAAUUGAACAUCUAACGCUCAUGAUGCUGAUUUUGAUUUUCAGACAUCUGAAAUUUGUUACCUCUCGAAGCCACAAAAGUUGCCUGAUGGAAAACUGAGAAAUCUCACCAAGCUUUGGUUCACUCCACUUAUAACUGACCUUUUGAUGUAUUUUGUAUUGGGUUCUCUGGAACAUUGAUGACCUCUGAGAGUGUGUUAGAUUUAACAGGUCGCUUCAAAUAGAAAGAGCUGAUCUGCUUCACAGAACCAAGUAGAUGCACUUUGCACACUUUCUGUCUUGACAACCUUCACUAGUUUGAACUUGUGAUGCUACUUUGCAGGUCGUAUAUAAUGCGUAGUCCUGGGACAAAAAUGUUUUUGACCAUCUCAAACCCUGGUAGUCAGUAAUGGGAAUGGGGACACUAGAGAAAGGCUUAGGAGAG
ensembl:lncRNA